rnacentral:rRNA from 1 species
GAUGAACGCUGGCGGCGUGCCUAAUACAUGCAAGUCGAGCGAACAGAUGAGGAGCUUGCUCCUCUGACGUUAGCGGCGGACGGGUGAGUAACACGUGGAUAACCUACCUAUAAGACUGGGAUAACUUCGGGAAACCGGAGCUAAUACCGGAUAAUAUAUUGAACCGCAUGGUUCAAUAGUGAAAGACGGUUUUGCUGUCACUUAUAGAUGGAUCCGCGCCGCAUUAGCUAGUUGGUAAGGUAACGGCUUACCAAGGCAACGAUGCGUAGCCGACCUGAGAGGGUGAUCGGCCACACUGGAGCUGAGACACGGUCCAGACUCCUACGGGAGGCAGCAGUAGGGAAUCUUCCGCAAUGGGCGAAAGCCUGACGGAGCAGCGCCGCGUGAGUGAUGAAGGUCUUCGGAUCGUAAAACUCUGUUAUUAGGGAAGAACAAAUGUGUAAGUAACUAUGCACGUCUUGACGGUACCUAAUCAGAAAGCCACGGCUAACUACGUG